rnacentral:rRNA from 11 species
CUAUCCAGUCCUAAAUACCCUAAAGGCAACAGAUCCAAUCUGAUCUUGGAAGCUAAGCAGGAUCAGCCCUUUAUUAGCCCUUGGAUGGGAGACCACUAACAAAUAUCAGGUGCUGUACAAA